CUAGGGGAUGAGUGGGAUGGUUGCAUAUAUACAAUGCUGACAAUGUAUUAUGCAACGUUUCACUCUACCCCAGGGA
rfam:Schistosoma mansoni, Puerto Rico, WGS project CABG01000000 data, contig: 0049